AUGCAAAACCCUAAGCUUGGGGAUGCUAGUUUUGCUAUGUCUACUACUUGUUGCAAUAAUCAUGAUUGGGGUGAUUCUUCUUAUGAUCUUGAAAAUUUAUUUAAGCCCCAUGAUGAAUAUGAGAUUGAUAAUAAUGUUUGCAAUAAUAUUGAAAAUGGGUUUGGAAGAGUGUCAACUUUAGAUCCCACAUAUUUGGAGAAUGUUCAAUCUUAUGAAGUUUUUGAUAAAGGUGGGUUUGGAGAGGUCAUGACUUUAUUUAAUGUUAAUCCCACUAUUUUGGAAGAGUGUCAACUUUGCAUGCAUGUGGAUCAUGUUGAGAAUAUGUUUUGUAAUAGCUAUAUUGUUGAAUUUUCUUAUGAUCCUAUAUGUAAUUAUUAUGAGAUAGGAAAAUAUGGUUGUAUAAAUUUUCAUGUUACUAAAUUACCUCUCGUUAUGUUGAGAUUGCUAUUGUUUCUCUCUUCUUCCUUGCAUAUGGUAGUUUUUGCUUGCCUUGAUAAUUUGUUUGCUUAUAAAAUACCUAUGCAUAGGAAGUAUGUUAGACUUAGAUGUGUUCUUCACGUGUUUCAUGAUGCUCUCUUUAUGUUUCAAUUCUUAUCUUUUAUGUGA
rnacentral:rRNA from 1 species